rnacentral:rRNA from 1 species
UGGAAAAGUAAAAAAACGUAACAAGGUUUCCGUAGGUGAACCUGCGGAAGGAUCAUUACUGAUUUGCUUAAUUGCACCACAUGUGUUUUUUAUUGAACAAAUUUCUUUGGUGGCGGGAGCAAUCCUACCGCCAGAGGUUAUAACUAAACCAAACUUUUUAUUUACAGUCAAACUUGAUUUAUUAUUACAAUAGUCAAAACUUUCAACAACGGAUCUCUUGGUUCUCGCAUCGAUGAAGAACGCAGCGAAAUGCGAUACGUAAUAUGAAUUGCAGAUAUUCGUGAAUCAUCGAAUCUUUGAACGCACAUUGCGCCCUUUGGUAUUCCAAAGGGCAUGCCUGUUUGAGCGUCAUUUCUCCCUCAAACCCCCGGGUUUGGUGUUGAGCAAUACGCUAGGUUUGUUUGAAAGAAUUUAACGUGGAAACUUAUUUUAAGCGACUUAGGUUUAUCCAAAAACGCUUAUUUUGCUAGUGGCCACCACAAUUUAUUUCAUAACUUUGACCUCAAAUCAGGUAGGACUACCCGCUGAACUUAAGCAUAUCAAAAGUGGGGAGGAA